rnacentral:rRNA from 1 species
GAUGAACGCUGGCGGCGUGCCUAAUACAUGCAAGUCGAGCGAACGGACGAGAAGCUUGCUUCUCUGAUGUUAGCGGCGGACGGGUGAGUAACACGUGGAUAACCUACCUAUAAGACUGGGAUAACUUCGGGAAACCGGAGCUAAUACCGGAUAAUAUUUUGAACCGCAUGGUUCAAAAGUGAAAGACGGUCUUGCUGUCACUUAUAGAUGGAUCCGCGCUGCAUUAGCUGGUUGGUAAGGUAACGGCUUACCAAGGCAACGAUGCAUAGCCGACCUGAGAGGGUGAUCGGCCACACUGUAACUGAGACACGGUCCAGACUCCUACGGGAGGCAGCAGUAGGGAAUCUUCCGCAAUGGGCGAAUGCCUGACGGAGCAACGCCGCGUGAGUGAUGAAGGUCUUCGGAUCGUAAAACUCUGUUAUUAGGGAAGAACAUAUGUGUAAGUAACUGUGCACAUCUUGACGGUACCUAAUCAGAAAGCCACGGCUAACUACGUG